CUACCUCUUUUCUCGUCCUUGACUUGUCUCACUCCUUUGCCUCUUGCGGCUUUGCGUAUGUGUAUUGUUCCCUGCUGAAGCUUUGAAAUAUGCUUAUCUAAACACUCUCCUCAUAUGUUGCCUCGCUCUCUGCCUCUGAGUGCCCUUUUCCUGCCGUUCUGUUUCCUUUGCGAGCUUUUGUCUUCUUUUACGCUGGCCACCGUGAUUGACGAGAUUUCAAGCCGGUCCCUUCCGUACCCGCAGAAUUGCAUUGAUGUCAACUUUGAGCAGCCCGCCGAGAUCACCUAGUUGGCGUUUCACCUCCUCCACAUCGUGCAUAACCUGGUCCACCUCUGUACACACCCACGCUCCCCAUAGACUGGGCACAAGGCUGCUGUCAUCUUCACGUAUUUCCUCUUCGCCACUGCUGUGCGUUGCUGUUCGUUUCGCUCCUUCUGCUGCCCCGUCGCUGCUUCGCUUGCUCUGCGUGUGCUCUCCAUGGUCCUGGACGCCCUCAGGGUCGUUGCCAAACUUUCGUUGCCAAGAAAGAAAGAAAGGAAGGAAACGAGAGGUCCUAGAGGCACCUGCCUCUUUGUCGCUCUCCUCGCCCUGCUCUCGCCCUGUGGCGGGUGUCUGCCCUAUCCCCCACGGGCGCCCCUCGAUGUCAUUGACUGUCCGGGCGGGUGUAUCUUCAGCACGGCACAAACAACAGGCAAGACGGCACGUGAGAGGGAAUGCCACCAAGGCGGAGGCCCGUAUAGGGACACCCGUGGACGGGAAGCGAAAAAUGUGGAGAGUCUUUCCGAGACACAGUCAACCCGGACCUCUACGUAUCUGUCUGGUCCCGGAAAAAGCCAAAACCGUUAGUGCUUGAAGCUGUACCAGGAACCACGAAGGUUAACGUGCAAAGCGACGAGCGGACGACUCACUGGAUGCAAAGCAGACUGCCAUUCUGGGGGCAGGAAACGCGCAUGAACGCCCCAGAAGGCAAGGGAACACAGAACACGAACCAACGACGGUACGUACUUGUACUUUUCUUCUUUGCGACGUGGGCGGAAACGCCAGAGUAAUGCUGGACAGUGGAUGACAGGAGACGGGGAACACUUUGCGAUGUGACCGAAGCGAGCGCGGUUUUGACGUUGCUCAUCCGAUCCAGCGAGGCCUCUAGGGCGUUCAUGACGGACUCCAAGCCCGUCGGUGGAGUGGGUGGUGGAGGCAGCGAAGCCGCGGCCGCUAGUCGGGCUCGAAGGGCACCCACCGAUGCCUGCGCCUGGAUCAUGCACCGGCACUGAAGGCGCAGCUGAAGCUCAAGCGCACGACGCCCUGAAGAGCGGCAGCAGAAUCCGGAAUGAAAACGGGGGACAGGCAAAAAAUGCCACCGUGUCGCUCGCUUCACUGGCCUCUCGCAUUUUCGUGUUUGGCGUCGGAGGCUGAGUGUGUGUCUGUGUCUUACCCACGAGUGCAAGAUAGGCAAGGAGCAUAAGCAAGAGGCCGUUGAUGAUACUCGGACGAAGGCCGUCUGCGCCGCCCGUGAGAAGUGUCGCAGCUUGGAAGGAAGCGACUGCCACGAGGCAUACCGGCCACAGGCAUAUGUCUCUGGACAGGGCAGACGCAGGAUACCGCGCAGUCAAUGAGGAACCAGGUACGGAUUCUGAAGUAUUUCGAAAGCGAGAUCCGGAGCGAAAAAGGGAAACAUAAAGACAUCCACAUACAUACACCUCUUUGCAGAUGUAGGAGGCAACUGUUACGCGGCGCGCGCGGCAC
rnacentral:lncRNA from 1 species